rnacentral:rRNA from 1 species
CAGUAGCCGCGGGAAUACGAAGGGGGCUAGCGUUGCUCGGAAUGACUGGGCGUAAAGGGCGCGUAGGCGGUUUUGACAGUCAGAUGUGAAAUUCCUGGGCUUAACCUGGGGGCUGCAUUUGAGACGUCAAGACUAGAGUGUGAGAGAGGGUUGUGGAAUUCCCAGUGUAGAGGUGAAAUUCGUAGAUAUUGGGAAGAACACCGGUGGCGAAGGCGGCAACCUGGCUCAUUACUGACGCUGAGGCGCGAAAGCGUGGGGAGCAAACAGGAUUAGAUACCCCAGUAGUCCCUGUCUCUUAUAC